GUCUAUGGACACACCACCCUGAAUGCGCCUGAUUUCACCUGAUCUCAGAAGCUUAAGCAGGGCUGGGCCUGGAUAGUACUUGGAUGGGAGAAUUGCCAGUUGUGGCAC
rnacentral:rRNA from 1 species